rnacentral:rRNA from 1 species
UACAGAGGGUGCGAGCGUUGUCCGGAAUCACUGGGCGUAAAGGGCGCGUAGGCGGCCUGAUAAGUCGGGGGUGAAAUCCUGUGGCUCAACCACAGGGCUGCCUCCGGGACUGUCGGGCUCGAGCACAGUAGAGGCAGGUGGAAUUCCCGGUGUAGCGGUGGAAUGCGUAGAGAUCGGGAAGAACAUCGGUGGCGAAGGCGGCCUGCUGGGCUGUUGCUGACGCUGAGGAGCGAAAGCGUGGGGAGCAAACCGG